rnacentral:rRNA from 1 species
CGCGUAGGCGGCCAUCUAAGUCAGACGUGAAAUCCCCCGGCUUAACCUGGGAACUGCGUCUGAUACUGGACGGCUCGAGUGUGGGAGAGGGAUGUAGAAUUCCAGGUGUAGCGGUGAAAUACGUAGAUAUCUGGAGGAACACCGGUGGCGAAGGCGGCAUCCUGGACCAACACUGACGCUGAGGAGCGAAAGCCAGGGGGAGCAAAACGG